rnacentral:lncRNA from 1 species
CUGUCAGCCACCGGCUCCGAGGAGGACACCCACGACUCUGAUGACUCCAUCCCACGGAAGGGAGAGAGGAAGGCUGCGCUGCUGGGGAGAGAAGAGAGAGCCAUAAGCACAAGGAGCAGAAUUCCUCGCCCCAUCGUGCCGGUGAAAACGCCGCUGGAGGCGGUGAGGUUGGAGAGCUCCGUGGCUGCUGCUGUGGCAGGGCUGGGCAGCUCCCCACAGGAUGCAGCUGCUGCCUGCAGGCUUCAGACACAGAGACCAGCUGGGAGUGUCCCAUCUGAGGGCCGAACAACACAGGUACAAAGCCGGCUUCCUUCGUCACCGAGCUCCACUUCUCUUCCUCCACGGAGCAGCUCGCAGAGGCCCAGUGGUGCAUCCCCUCGGAGCCCCGUCCUUCCUUCCAGGAACCCCAGCACUUCCCCCAGAAGCCAGCUGCUGCCUCGGAGGGAAAGUCCUUCUCCCUGCCGACAGCACAAACCAGGGACUGCUCCUCAGCGAGUUCCUACUUCCCCCCGACCUCAGCCCUCAGCUCAGGCCCCGGGGCCUACAGGAGAUUCCCUGCCAUCUCCUGGCGUGGCCAAAAAACGACAAAGAGGAAAAACCCAGACUCAAAGUCCAGCAACCAAAGGAAAGCAGGUGUCCCUGGAAAGUAAGGCAGCUGCCAGAUAAUGACCUUCCUCUGCGAGCCCAGCAGACUGGGUAACUUCUGCAUAUAGUAUACACUUGAGAUGCUGCAGCACAGCCUUCCAUGCUGGACCCACGAGUGUAUAGCAGUAGCUGUACUUGAAUGCUUCACUCACUCUCACCCCACACUGCAAUCAGCUCCCACGGGCCUGGCAGCCUCUGAGCCACGGAGCCUUUCCAAGGGAGACCCCCGCAGCUCACGCUUGCUAACGCACAGCACCCAGCCGUGACCCAGUGCCUGACCUGCCUCCCUCCCCAGGGAUUCUCCUCCCCGUUAGCAAUACCAGUCCUCAACACCGACUCCAGCUGUGGAAGGAGGAGCAGAGGUGACAAGAGCAAGGCCUGCUAAAGAGGAAGGCUCCUGUCCUUCAGGCAGCUCCUUCCUUUCUCCUUGCUGGGAAAACACCAGCCUUGGUCUCUGCCAUUUCCCUGAGUGUUGGCUCACCUCCCACCGCCUGUGUUAGCAAGGGAUUGCCACUAGCUUAUUCAAGAGGGAUGGAUGCAUCCUUGUGUGCUAAGAGAAGGGGUAAGGAGGGGAGGGCUCUUCUCUCCUUUUCAGAGGUGCCUCUACAGGUGGGAAUUGGGAGACAGGCAGGUCUUGCUGGAUGCUCCCACCUGCUCCAGUAUGUCCCACAGAGGAGGCUGUCUGGCAUUGCUUCUCAGACACUGCUGCUGUUUCAGCAGAUGCCUCUGUGGUGGGUGCUUAGGUGGAAGUAGAGAUGUGUUGGCAGCUUGCUGGGAAAUCAGGAGUUCUUGCUAAUUAAUGUAGAAGGGAGCACACUGCAGCCACAUCUGUCACAAAUACCAAACUGUGAUCUGUGGACAUCACAUCCCCCAGCAAGGGAGGUUCCUCUCAGCCUGGGCAUGGUUGGUGCCACAGACCUGCAGUGCACCAAACACAGCUCCAUUGUGAGGAUGUGGAUAGUCACUGGAUGCCUUUAGCCUGGGUGCCCCUUGCACCUGAAUUCCUUGUGUUUUAUUGUCACACUCUUGGUGUUUGUGAAUUUUGGCACUGUGGUUGAAAGUUCCCCUACAGGGCAGGGUGGGAAAUGAUUAUCCUGUGGCGUACCCAAAACCUGCUGCUUUGCAAUGAGAGGUUUGCUGGCAUGCCAUGGCCAUGGCAUUUCUAUCUGAGGGGACAGUGGCUUGAGGGGCAGAGGUGGGGUUUAUGUCUUUUCCUUGAUGCUCACCUCUGCCACGCGUUGAGGAUGAACAAUGUGAACGUAAAAGCAAGGGCUGUGCUCUUCAAAUAAUAUUAUCUGAGCAUAAGCUAACACUCAGCUAGAGCUAAAUCAACCGACUGUUUAGCCCCCAGACUAAUUAGGAAGGCUUGAAAGUGAAAGCAAGGAGGGCUGGUACCUGUCUGAUCUUGAUGAGAUCUUGAAGUAGACAAAAUUCUCCCCACACCUCACAGAAGAAAACACUCCAGACCCAAAUACUUUGUGCUUCACACCAUUGUCAUGCCUAAAAGAGGCACUGCAUGAGACAGAACAAAAAUACAGCUGCUCUGUACACCUAUUCCUGCAGUUGCAACUACCUGCAAAUUUACUAUUUGCAGACAACAAAGCUUGACAGAGGAAUCUGAACAGUAAUGACCUUGAUUCAUUUGAACAUGAAUGCAAACAGUCACACACUGAUGGCCAUCAAGUUCAAGGAAUCCCGAAGCUGCUCAUAUCUGCAGGAGUCCUGGAAAGGAGGAUGAGAGCUGUGACAGGGUGUCAGGGAGAAAAUCCUUGCACACCUGAACAGGGAAAUGUGUAGAAACAGGAGACAGGAAUUACCCCUUCACGUAACAGUCUCAGUGUUGCCAACACUAAGAAUUCAUUUCACCCAGCUCAGAGUGUUUUCCAUUGAUUUCCAAACAUGCCCUCAUCUUUGCAGAGCAGCACUGGGAACUCAGAGGGAGCUCAGCCUGUGGUCUGAUGGACUGAGCUGAUGUUGCCAUCAAAAGCAACAUCCCUCCAAGUUCCAGCUGUUUUUGUGGCACAGUUCCACCACAUUUACAGUGCAGCAGCAAUUUGAUAAAUGGCUGGAAAUGCUGAUCCAGCACAACACAAACUGCUCUGAUUCACCAGUUUCUUUUUCAUCUGGUUCAUUUCAUCACUCUGGUUCACCAUUUGGUCCCACAACAGAAGAAGGACGCACAGAGACUGUGACCACUUCUUCUGGUGGCAUUAAAACUUUGUCUGAGUUUGAAGUGUGGGUCAGACUAGAACCUAAGUAUGCGCUGCAGGUUUAGAAACUAGAAAACAGAAUAAACUCAAAGACAGAUUCUUUCCAGAAAUAUAAAUCAUAAUGGGACUCCUAUUAAUUUAUUGAAGGUCUAUUAAUUUUAGAGUACUUAGAUGGUAAGACUUGGUUGUGAAGCUUUUACCAGUUGGUCCAUCCAUGUCUUAAUGCACAUGCCAAAAAUGACAUUGAAAGAGCUUUGAAAGAGGACUACAGGAUUAUUAACAGGGUUAGCAAACCUGCCUGAUCAUGGGAAGCCAAUAAAGCACAAUCAGUGUAUUUGUUCAGGAAAAAGUUUAAGGGACAGUUUUCUGUGGCCCAAUGUCAGAAAGGAAACUCCAGGGCAGACACAAGGCUGGGUUGGACAGGGCACUGAGCAUCCUGGUCUAGUGGAAGGUGUCCUUGCCCAUAGCAAGGGGCUGAAACUAGAUGGUCUUUAAAGUCCCUUCCAACCCAAACCAUUCUCUGGUUCUGUGGUCUUCCUCUGGCUCAUGAAAGCAGGGAAGUCAGAACAGCCAAGAACAGCAGAUGAAGAAAUUGGGCAGGCUUUUAAUUGUGAAGCAACCAUCCAGUGAAGUCUUUCACAGGACUGUGGGGACUUUCUUUAUUAAAAGGUUUCUGUGAAACUGAGCUGUCUUCUAAGAGGUCUAUCUACCAUGACCCCACCACAAGAAGCAGGCAGGAUUCUGGUGGCACCAAGGUACCAUCUCCCUCUGUGGUGCAGCAGAUUCCUGGUCCCACUGGGAUAUAUGCCAAAGCUGGGAUAUACUGGAGAGCCACCUGGCAGGUCCCACAGGUUUCAGAAAGCAAGGGAAAGAUGGCCAGCACAGCUGGACAUCAGGCACAGGUCUAUGCUGAACUGAGCAAGAGUAAUAGAUCUGAAUGGCUCCAAACCCAGUGGUGUAUUAUGCUUUUUGCCCCUGAAAUUUUUGCUUCAGACAAUUUUUUAAUAAUAAUUUUUCUUUUGUUUUAAUCUGGUUGCAAGGAAAUUAAAAAUAUAAGUAAAUAGAUAUUCCAUGUUACAGAAAUUAAAGUUUACAUUGAAAGGAACUCUUGGAAAUCAACUUGUCCAAUUUUCUAUUGAAAAUGAGACCCUGGAUUAGAUUAUGUGGGCCUGUGUCAAGAUGAGCCUUCAGUGUCUCCAGCAAGGAAGAUUCCACCACUUCCAUGAUUUAGUGAAUCAAAGAAUAGUUGAGGCAAGAUGGGACUUCUGGAGGUCACCAACAAAGCUGUUCACAGUGUUGUCUGACAGGGCUGGGCUGAAGGUGCAGCUGGGUCCGUAGAGAUCUGAGACCAGCAUGGGCCAUCUCUCCUCGUGGUUGUGCUGCCAGGCUCCCUGCUCCUGCACAGCCCUGCUUCCCAGCUGUCCCUGGCAUGAGGGGCAGCAGGAAAGUGCAUGGUGUGCCCCAGGCCAUGUCCUCCUGGAUGGGGAUGCUCCCAUCUGGGGGACCAGCACACACAGAAUUUCCUCUGGGUCCUCUCUUCUUCUGCUGCCCUGCAGGAAGGUUGGAAGGGCACCCCGCCAUAGCUGGAGCAAACAGAGGAGAACAUGUCUGGGGACAAGAAGGCCUGUGAUGUUAGGGAGAGGUUAGGUGGUUGAGGAAUGCCAGAGGAUCUAGUGUGGCAUCACAGGACGUGGUGGGCUGUCACAUCCCAGACAGGUGGGAGAGGCAAGGCCCUGUUGCUCUCUGCUGUGAGUCUGGUGCAAGCUCUGCCAAGCUCGAGGGCACACAGGGCUGCUCAAGCACUGCUGGGGUGUGUGGCUGUGUCC